rnacentral:misc_RNA from 1 species
GAAAUGCGAUAAGUAAUGUGAAUUGCAGAAUUCAGUCAAUCAUCGAAUCUUUGAACGCACAUUGCGCCCCCUGGUAUUCCGGGGGGCAUGCCUGUUCGAGCGUCAUUUCACCACUCAAGCCUCGCUUGGUAUUGGGCAACGCGGUCCGCCGCGUGCCUCAAAUCGACCGGCUGGGUCUUCUGUCCCCUAAGCGUUGUGGAAACUAUUCGCUAAAGGGUGCUCGGGAGGCUACGCCGUAAAACAACCCCAUUUCUAAGGUUGACCUCGGAUCAGGUAGGGAUACCCGCUGAACUUAAGC